AGGACGAACGCUGGCGGCGUGCUUAACACAUGCAAGUCGAGCGGAAAGGCCCUUCGGGGUACUCGAGCGGCGAACGGGUGAGUAACACGUGAGCAACCUGCCCUUAGCUCCGGGAUAGCUCCGGGAAACCGGAAUUAAUACCGGAUACGACCACGGCCGACAUCUGCUUUGAUGGAAAGGAUUCCGGCUAAGGAUGGGCUCGCGGCCUAUCAGCUAGUUGGUGGAGUAACGGCCCACCAAGGCGACGACGGGUA
rnacentral:rRNA from 1 species